rnacentral:rRNA from 1 species
GACGUAGGGCGCGAUCGUUGUCCGGAUUUAUUGGGCGUAAAGAGCUCGUAGGCGGCUUGUCGCGUCGUCCGUGAAAACCCACAGCUCAACUGUGGGCUUGCGGUCGAUACGGGCAGGCUAGAGUUCGGUAGGGGAGACUGGAAUUCCUGGUGUAGCGGUGAAAUGCGCAGAUAUCGAGAGGAACACCAGUGGCGAAGGCGAGUCCCUGGACAACACCUGACACUGAGGCACGAAAGCUAGGGGAGCAAACAGG